rnacentral:misc_RNA from 1 species
GUGCUGCUCCUCCUCUUUCACCUCUUGUUUCCGGCAACAACUCCAGCAGCAGCGAUUGGAGGCUGGUCCAAUAGACGAGCCGCCUCUCCCCUCUUCUCCGACCAGAAUCAACAACUAGCAGGUCUAGCAGGCGAGCAACGACAACCAACAGCGAUAGCAGACUGCCACAGGCGAACUCCGGCAAGCCAGCUGAUUGGUAACCUUGGAACUCCGAAAAUGAUGAUGGUUAACAUUAGAUUUUACGGCGUCAAGACCAUAUAUCA